CGACUUAGCUCAGCAGGCAGAGCAACUGACUUGUAAUCAGUAGGUCACCAGUUCGAUUCCGGUAGUCG
rnacentral:tRNA from 3 species